CCCGUAUUACCACCAAGGGACAUAAAAAUAAAAAUUGGAAGAUAUCUGGCUGGAUCUCUGAGUAUAGUGGGAUCAUUAAUGCCAGCCAUGCUAAACCAACAUCUAAAUCAGCUGCAUCUUUAUGGGACAAAUUCUUCUUCAAUUUAUAUUCACAUAGAUCCAGAUAAAUUGCGUGGAAAUUAAGAGAUUUAUUGUGGAAUUGUGUCACAGCAAGUGAGAAAAAGAAUAUACCCCUUUGUUUAAAUUCCUCAUAGUUUCAAGUGUGCAAAUGAGUUCAAAAGAGCCCUUUUUAGGCUUAUGAGCUGAAUGGAAAAAAUGACACAGAAAGAUGAAGAUUUCUUAGGACUUCUAUGUAGCCACCAAAACCAUAAACAGAAUACUACUGGAUUAUAACUCUGAGAGUAGCACCCCUGGGAGAAUAAAUCAAGCUCCAACACAGCAAAAGGGAAAGUCAGAGUCAUCUAGUUGACAUUCGGCAUAAUAGCUUUUCUUUGUAUUUAUUUCCACUUGGAAACAAGUUGUACUUUUUAGUUCAUAACAUAUAAAAUGCAUCAUAAACUAAGUAGUCUGUGAGUCAGGAUUUUCUCUGGUUCUAUAUAGCAACAUGCAUGAUGAACUGGGAGCUGCUCACUGGAAGUGAAGCUCUGUACACUCAUAUUCACGAAGUGUCACUUUUUCUCUGUAUGCCGUAUAGCACCAGAAUUCACUGAUUUUUCAUGAUAUGUUUAGUGAGGCAGAAGACUAACUGAAUGCCAAGCCUGGUAUAAUGAUUGUAAUGGUGGAAGGAUGGCAGGGGAGGGGUGUAAUGGAAGUCAUUGCUACUGGAAGAGAGAAACUCAUUUCACAGUGGCAAGAUACAAGAGGGAGAGCUGUAGAACUUAUCUUGGUUUUCAAGGUCUGAAUUAGCUUAUUGUGAAUUGAACCAAGUACAACCACGAGCCAUGGGAUUCAACCACAAGGCUUUGAUAUUUACAGACUCGAUUUAUCACCAAUUUUCUUUCUGCACCUUCAGAGCAGCAUGGAGAAUAACAUAACCAGUUCUGACCUAAUUCUGCCCACCCAGCUUAACUUUCUGCCCCACCAGAGCAGAGUGUUUCCAUGCUUCCUGACAAGGAGAACAAUGCAAAGCUCCCAGUAGACCCAGGAGCAAGCACAGGAUGGUGGUUCAUCCUGUGGCCAUGGCCAUAAUAUUAUGGACACAUGUCUUUCAGAAGACCAAGAAGUCAGGAGGGACUGUGCAUUACUUGGGAUCACUCUCUGCUAGCUGCUGUGGGCAGCUCCUCUUCCAUCCCAGCAAUGCACUGUAGACCAGGCAGCCACAACAGAAGUCCUGCACAGCAGUGCUCUGAGGAGCUAGCUGAUGGCUUUUCCCCGAAGCAGCAGCAGUCACAAUAUUUAUGAUGAUGCACAUGAAGAAUAGAAAACAAAACACUUCAGUUCCAGAGAAUUCAGCUAAGGGAGUAAACUUCCAGAGGAGAUGGGGAAAUUUUCCUAAAUUCAUCUUUCAAAACGUCCUGUCUAAAAAACAAUACAGUCACAAUACAAACUCCUACCUAGUCCCUAAAGAACAGACAUGUGGCCCUGUCAAGUUUGUUUCGAGGGACAGAAGCUACUCAGAUUUGAAGCAGUAUAAAGACUUUGAAGGACUGCUAAAUUGAUCGGUUUUUUUCUUUUUUUAUUUUGUGGUGGUUUUUUUUUUUGUUUGUUUGUUUGUUUUUUCUUUUUAAACAAAUAGUUUAAAUUCAGUUUAGGAAAAGACACACUAUGUAUUUCUUGAGCCCUCUUACAAGUUUUCCUUUUUAUUCAUUCAGGGCCUGGCAGGGAUGUUAACCAAUUCCCACAGUAUUGCCAGCAGUCUCAGGGGUGCAGCAUCAUUAGCAAAUACCACAGCUUCCAAGGUGUAUGCCAUAUUUGAAACAGGGCUUUGGUUGUGGACAUUUAUUUAUGGAGCACUUUCAUUCCAAACUCCCAAAACACCAACUACAAAUGCUGUUCUGGUACUGACAGGAAUCCCUUUGCUGGUCCCUGGAUUGUUAAACCUCUGCCAAGGCAGCAGCAGCUCUUAACGCAGCAGCUUUGUGCUACAGUACGAGACAAGUGGGGAAUAAUAAUGUAUCUAACUAAAUUAUAUGUGAAUGUCAGUUAGGCAAAAUAGCAUUACCCAAAUGAAAUUUGGACAGAUCCCUUGUGUUAACACUCCAGCUCUUGGCCAAAGCACCAAGGCACUUCUGAAGGUUGAGAGUGGGCAAGGACUCCAUUUUACAGCUCAUCCAAAACCCCAUAAUUUUUGCAUUAACUAAUGGAUUAUAUAUUAAUUACCUUUUUAGAGAUGUAUUGCAGCUCUGCAUAAUACGAGCUUUUUUAUUGUUAGUGGUAUCCACUUUUAAAAUAUACUGCCAGUCACUGUUGCUUUGGCAUUUGUUUUCAGUUUUGUUUUUCUCAAUUCUGAGCAGUUUUAGUCCAUUUAAAUUCUUGCAAGCACUAUUUAUUUCCUGUGUCUCUCUCAAUAACAAGAAUUUCUGGAAAAGUCAGUCAUCAUGACAAUAAAAUCAAGGAAGAUGUGUCAGGAAAUUUUUUCAGAGAGGACAUCUUAGAUUUAAGGAAAUGCAGAUUUUACACUCUGGUCUGCAAAUGCCCACUGCAAUUCAAGGACAGUGAGUGUGACCUGCUCACAGUAGAUUUUGGCAAGUCACUCCUUUUUCUUUUUUUAUUAGACUAGUACAGGUGAAAAAAAAAUAAUGUGAACAGCAGAAUUUAUUAUGUUCUAUUGGAGCUCCAGGGGGAAGAAUAAUUAUAAAGCCUCAGUACAAGACUGACACCAUCUGGCUACUACAGAAUUUGCAGGUUUUACAAGAUUUGCAUGAAAUACCACUUUUAUCACUGCAGAAAUGGAGCAUUUCAGGCCCUGGUUCCAGUUCAGGGUAUUGAUGAGCAGCUGGGGAUGCACCCUGCUGAAACUGGAGAAGCCAAAGUCUCCUUAGCACUGCUGCUCCCAGGGCAGGAGAUCUUAUUUUAUUACAACAGCACUGAAAUAUUACCAACUAGAAGUCAUCACAUAGAAUAAUCCAUUUCUUACAAAUAUCAGUUUGAAUUUUUAUGUCUGCAUGGUGAACCACUGCCAUUUGUAUUAUCUUUGCAGGAACCUGAAAACAUGUAAGGUUGGUGGCAAGAAUGCUCUUUGAAGAAACCCCAACAUUUCUUCCAGUAAAUCAACACAGUCUUAAACUAAUGCACUUGAACAAUGUACUGAAGUCAAUGAUGUUGCUUGCUUUCCUAAACUGAAGUGUCUGGAUACGCACUUCUGAACAACAGUUUGAAAUAGAAAUUUAACCAAAUAUUUACUAAUGUUUGCCUGAAGCAUGUACUGAGCUUGGAUUUACAACCUAAGAAAUUCAUUCCCUCAGUCAUGAAAGAAAAAUAAGACAACAACAACCAAAAUUGCAUUGCAACCGAAUGCUGGAUGACAGCAAAUCAUUUCUCACAACUCUAACUGCUUUCUCCCAGAUUCUUAUGAGUUACUUAUUUGCAUUUAUUUGGGGAAGGAUUGCUCCUUCUUUGCACUUUUGUCCCAGUGAGUCAGAAUGAGUCAGAGCACAAGGACAGGAGAGGAACAUGAAGCUUCAAUCUGAGUAGGGUUUGAAGUGGACAGGAGUUAUACACCACAUACUCUUUUGUGGACACCUUACUGAGACAUCAUAGCGACAUUGCUCUCCCUGUCUGAAUCAGCACAGAAGUGAAUUUAGUCCUCGCCAACUGAUAAGGUUUCUUGAAGAAGGCUCUGAUGAGGAGAUGAGGAGUUACAGAAAGUCACUGGGGAGACUGUCACAUUGGUGAAAAGCCUGGGUGUCCAACUUGCUGAUGUGGGAGCAACAAACUAGCUUUGUGUUACUAUCACAGGAAACAUGUUUACAGUUAUGGAAGUGAAGAAGGCCGAUUGUUUUUUUUUGUUUGUUUGUUUGUUUGUUUGUUUUUGUUUGUUUGUUUGUUUGUUUGUUUUUGAGUUGCAUAUCCUGAUGCAACUGCUAAUUUUUACUGUCUCAGUAGACAGACAAAAGGUGAAACACAGUUCCCAUAAAAGUCACCUAGAUUAACUCUAUGUCCAAAGACAGGCUAUGUGCACAGAUAAUACCAACUUAACCAAAACUAUUUGAACUGAUUCAGUUAAAAUCAACAUAAUUCCUUGUGCUUCUUUAAGAAAUAAAAGUAUUCAAUUGGAUGUGUAUUAAUUUUAGGCACUGGGACAGAUUGAUGAGUUCUUACAAAUGGGAGCAAGUCCCAGUUGAUAUAAAUCAAUUUACACGUUGAUUGAAAAUCAUUCUGUUUUCACACUGGAACUGAGAACAACAAAUGUUGCUUUUUUUCUUGUAUAGCUGUAUUGACUGAAAUGGUUACAGUCACAUAGCCUUGGUUACUGUAGAUAAAUCAAACAGCUUCUGUGUUCACACAGUGCCAAGGAGAAGUACUAUAGUGAGGACUAUGCUAAAAAUUUUCCUACAAAUUACUGCACAACUUUCUCACAAAUCAAGAAGUUGUUUUCCUUAUCAAGUGAGAAUAUUAUAUAUGCAUCAUGUCAGGAGUACUCAAACACUUCAAAAGGUUAAAACAGAGAGAAGAGGAAAAUGUAUGGAAAAUAAAUAUGGUUGACUUUUUUCUGGCAUUUCAACUGUUAUUACAAUUAUACGUUGUAAUGUGUGUCUCAUAGGUGUCACCAUGCUGCACACCAAAAGGAAGAUGUUCUCCUGUCCCAGCAAGUUUCAGUCUGAUUUUAGGUUUUAGACCAGUGACAAUACACAAUAAGAAGCCAAAAUAGAGAGGGUAAAAUUCUAGAGGAACAUGUCAUACAGACACACUUCAAUUUUAGCUUGACUAUAACAAGAACAACAACAAAAAAUCAAAGAUUAGAACUAACAGUGUAAAAUGUUGGAGUUUUUAACCCAUCUGUAGUAUCAGAUGGGUUAAUAAGCUUAGUUAAAGCUCUUACUUUUCUGCUUUUAUACAUUUUAUUUCAAAAGGGCAUAUAUUGUGCUCAUUACUACCAAUUAAAUGGAUAUUAUGAUGGUAAGGGUGAAAACUUAAAGUGAUACAAAUGUUGAUGGCCUGUCCUUUACGACUGUGAAUUGGCCGAUGUUCUUCUCCUCACACUGGUUCUGCAUGGUAUUCUAUGGCUGUAGCUUAUCCAAUUACAGACUGUGUUGAGUUACUUAUUACUUUCAGAUGGGGAAAAAAAAAUAGGAGAGAGGAACAUAAAGAUGAUUGUGGGUUUGGUUAAGUUAAAAGAAUACAUUCAAGUCGGACACCCACAGGACAUGACAGAUUCAAAUCUGUUCUUGGCAUUUAAGCCUCCAGCAUCCAGGAGGUUUUUCCUUAAGCAUAAAGGCACAGGCCUCUUUUAAUCACUUUUGUGGUAUAGUGUAUUUACAAACUGCUCAGAGAUAGGAAAUCUGGUAACUGUUCAGAAUUGUGGGAACAGAAAUUUGGCUUAAAAUGGGAAAAGACCUUGGAACAGGCUGCCCAGGGAAGUGGUGGCAUCAUGGACCUUGGAAGUGUUCAAGAAAAGUGUAGAUGUGUCACUUAAGGACAUGGUAUGGUGGGCAUGGUGGUGAUGGGUUGUAGGUGGGACUAGAUGAUCUUAGAGGCCUUUUUCAACCUUGGUGGUUCUACAGUUCUAUGAAAAAAAGGGAGGUGUCAUGAAUCCCUUAAAGUAUCUUCCACUCAUCUGCUAUACACUCAUCUGCUCACCAUCCCUUGAUUUUGUCAGGUUUUAGCCAUUGUCUCUAUCUCUGCAUAGACCUAAAAGCUCUCUCCCUCAUGUUGGGUGCUGACAGGUGAGCCCCACUGGGCCAGACAAGGACAGCAGACCCUCCCUCCUUGUGGUGACUGUCCAUUCUCCUGUGUCCUCAGGUAUUCUGACACACCUAUUCAGGAGCUGCCCAGGCCAUAAGUACUCCAGCAAGCGUUCGUUUUAUCAAGAGAUGCAGAUCAGCAGAAGCACAGAAAUUUCCUGGGCAAUUCCAUGAAAUUCAAGCAUUCAUCAGUGUUUUGUUUCUCCACCUACAUUUCUGUGACACUGCUGGGAUGAAGGGAUGCUGUUAAGGUGAAAUGAAGACAUUAAAGUGUUGUAACGGCAGGAUCAGUGGGACUGGCCAUCAUCUUAAUGCUCUGUGGGAUCUCCCAACAGUCUAUGUCAAAGAGAUCUGGUACCAUCUUCAGAUCACCAGCUGAACAUCAUUCAGGAAUUCGAGCUAUGCUGUGAAGGAGGGAGUGAUGAGAGCCCCCAAAGUUCUCUUAGCAGCUGUACAGAUAAAUGUGACCUCACAGAAAGGGAACUGGACACAGAAGGCUGUAUCAAAGGGGGGCUUCUGGGGCAGGAGACAGGGCAGAAGGCAUCAUGCAAUGUCUGUGUCUUCUGCUUUACCUCUUCUCUGACAUCUCAGCACUCCAGGUAGUUUCUCAUGUUGUUUAUUCUCCCUGCAGUGCGUUGUCCUCACGAACAGAAUCACAGAGUCAUGUGAACGUACACAUUUGCAUGUGAGAACACAGGUGCAUGCCUGUGUUUAGGGAUGUAACAUCUGCACACCAUCAGGAAUCAGUGUACUGCUUUGACACCCCUUCACAAACACAUACAGCCUGUCACACCAAGGCUAUGACAAGCUGGAAACCAAUAAAGCAUGCUAUGUGGGCAUUUGUCAUACUCCAAUGAAAACUGCAUGCUUGUAGCCUGCCUGUAUUUAUUUAUUUAUUAUGUUAAUGUUGCUCAUAGAGGUCUUAAAUCAUCCUAAAUGAAAAAUUUGAAUAAAAAUGCCUGAGAACUGUCAGUACGCAGUUCCACUCCAGCCUUCACAGUACAGAUGCUUGCAGUCUGGUGUGUUAUAACUUGCUUUUAUUUUCAAAUAGUGCAUUUGUCAACAUUUCAGAGCUAUCCAACCUCCAUCAGGACACAAUGACAGCUGAUCACAGGUUUUAAAUAGCUGCCUGAUAUUUGGAAAUACAGCUUUUUAAGUGUCCAUGAAUAUCUCCAUGAUUCAUUCAAAGGUGAAAUAAGGAAGGCAGCUAUUCUCCUGUGACGGAUGGUGAUUAUGAAGAUGACCUAUUUCUAAAAAUCUAUGAUUAGUCAAAUUGUAAAGCAAGGGAGAACAGCUAAUGAGUGAUCACUGCAUAAUUAUAUAGGAGUGUACCAACAUACAGCCAGUGACACACAAAGAUGUCCUUCACCAUUGUUCACUAUAAGCUGAGACUGAACUGUCUAUAAAACCAUCAAAUAGCAUUGGCAGGGCAACAAAUCUCUCCUUCUUGUCCAUUCUGUGGCACGUAACCAAGAACUAAGAGGAUCUAUGCUGGCCUGCAGCAGAAGGACCUGAGAGCAGUAGAGCACCCAGGAUAUCCUGGCAGUUUAUUGAGGCACUCAGAGGCAGAGCUGCCAUGUAGCUGACCCAAGUAGUCAGGAGUGCCCAAGAUGUGCAGUGAUGGUUGAAUAGCUCUGGAUGUGAGCAAGUUGCAGAAUUCCUUUGGAAUAAGAGCAGUGCUCACAGAAAUAUACUAUCUGUAUCACCAAGUCAACAUCUGUGAUUAGUGCUGCAUUUUGUUUUGCAUACACAGCUUUCACUCCAAGACACCUUAAAGCUCUCUUGAACAAAUACCAUUGCAAAAUGUGCCAGUGCUUCAGUGCUGGUAGACUAAAACUCAAGAAUCAGAAAUGAAAUACUGGCUAAUGAUGUUUAAAUUGCUGCUUCAUCUGCUUGGUGUUCCCUACCAGAUCUACUGUACAACUACUUGCUUUGCUAUUAUCACAGCAUUUUUUUUUUUAAGUUUUACAUUAUUAUUUCUGUGCUUAGAUAAUUUUUUCUAUACAGAGAAAUAAAAGUAGAUAUCGAAGCCCAACUUCCUUGUAAGCUUUGAAAACCAAGGUAACAUUCUAGAAAGAAAUUUAAUGCUUCUUUGAACUGAGGCAUUUUCAAAUUGUGAACUGUAAUUAUUUUUACAAUUACCUACUUAAGAAAGCAUGUAUAAAGAAACAAUCAAAGUAUGCUACCUGGGACAAUGAAUGCCAAUCAAGCUCAUUCUGUAAGUCAUCAAUUCAGGAUGACUGAUCUCACAUUUUAACAGAGGUAUAGUUACUACUUUUGAAUGUGGUGGUAAGGGAAAGUCUUGUUUGUAUAACUUUCUUAAAAAAUAACCUCCUUUACACUUUACAUAAAUGAUGUACAGUGACAAGUCCCAAUGCUUCAUUAUAUUUCAGACUUACAUUUGUUAUUUAGCAGAGUUUUGAAUAAUUGGUAGAAAGACCUAUUAGCAUUUUGCUGGAUCAGGCUUUGGUGGACACCAAAAGAAAGGCUUCAGUGGUCAUCAGCCAGGAAGAAAAUGGUUUAACUUUUAUUUACCCAAUUAGUUGCAGAUUGGAGAUAGAAGCAAUUUAGUCAUCAUAUACAUCCCUUCCUUUAGUCCCUAGAUUUCAAAAUCCCACCCCCAUUUGCUAUAGCAUCUCUCAUUCAACUUAAACAUCUUUCUAAAGUCUUCUGAAAACGUUUAGAAUGCUAAGAAAGCGUGUCAUGCCACUAUGAUAGAAGAUAAUAAAUGACAGCUGAUUAUAACUCAAGGCACUGCCAAAAUUCUUCAUUUAAGUCUCCUACUGUAGCAAUAUUUUCCUGUACAAACGGAAACACCAGUGCACUCUUCACUGUUCCCUGAAGUAAGGGCAAACUGCUUCUUUAAAACAUCUGGCAUAAUGUUUUAUGGGUUAUUUCACUAUCAGAAGAGAAGGACCUGAGCUAUUUGAUUGACUGAUCGACUAGUUUGCUUGGUUUUAUAUCUCAAACAUUUUGUUCUCUGCUAGCUUGGAGCUGUAAAACAUGAUCUGGAUUUCUACAGUUUUGAAAUCUAACUUAAAAUAAAUAAUUUUUAAAGUUCAAGAAUCUUUCUCCUAUCUCAGGGAAGAGGAGAAAUAAACCUGAAGAAGAAAAAAUGGAAAACUCAGUGAGUUUACAGUGCACCACUCUCUUCCUCAACUGGAGUAGAAGGUGAUUAGCACCAUGACUAUAUAAGAAUUUUUUUUAAAGUCUCAUCUUAAGCAUUGCCUUAGUUGCUCUUCAAAUUCUUUGAAGAUUAAUAAUUGUUUAGAGAACAUUUAUAUAUGCUAGGAUGUAGACAGGUCCAUGGAAACACCUCCUAUCCGAAAAUGAAACCUCCUCUGAGUUCAUGCAUCUCUACAAGGUAUCAGGCUUUAUUUACUCGAGUGGUGCUCACCCAUCUGCCCAGCCACGCUAUAGAGUUGUUCCACCUACAAGUCCCUGGAACCAGUAUAAAUCUCUCACACUGGAAAUUCAAGUGGCCAUACUUACUGUGGGGCCCCACAGCCAAACAGAAAGCCCGGGGCAGCAGCCCCAGUAAGGGCUAAGAAACCACUAGAAGAUUCCAAAGCUGGGGAAGCAACAUCAUGGCCAGAUCCUUCCCUUUUCUCAUGACCCAGCUUUAGGAGAUGAGAGCAGAACUCCUGCUGUUAUAUGCCCCAGGAUGAGAGGCAGCAAAGGACAUAUUUAAAAUUAUAUAUAUACUGACCAAAGGAAAGAAUAUGUUCAGAUAUCUGCAAAGAAAUGAGGAAAGAUGACACCAAUUUCUCAUUACACUGCUCCUCAUGUUGGCAUCUUACUCUCACUGCAAACACCUUUUGUGACACAGCUCCUUCUUGGCUUUCAUCUCUUAUUUGUCCUGUGCCAUCUCUAGCCACAAUACAUCUGUUUUCCCACACUCUCAGCACCUGCUUUCAUGCCAAACAAUUUGCCAACCUAUUGCCCUCAUCCCAUUCAUACACCUUCAAAUUACCACUCUUGUCACUUUCCCUGUGAAAAGGGACUAGUGGCUAUAUUUCAGCAGCAAUCUCCUUCACUGACUG